rnacentral:lncRNA from 1 species
UCCGUUCUGAAGACGUAUUUUCUGAGAAUACGUUUUGUGUUUUUCAGCUCAGGGGCCUGUUUGUAGAAAUCUUUUUACAGAAUGGUCCCUGAACUUCGUCGGGCUAUAUCUUUUCGACCACAACUCCAAAUGAGGUGAAUCCAAAGCCCACGUCUUCGUUUCGUCGAGCCCGUUCUAUUGGUUUCGUUUUCACGAUGGUUUGACACUAUGAAAAUGUCCUUUUUGCCCUUGCCAUUGAUCAGUCCCCCUUCGAGAGAGAACAUUUUCCGGCGAUUCUUUCCGCGAGCUUCUCGCACAAUCUUCACAAUGGUUCCUUCAUCCCCAGGCAAGCCACAAUACCCACUUGCAUGAUAGUCAUGCAAUAGCCAUGGUUUUCAACUUGAAUAUUUAUUAAAUGAUUACUUGUUUAAAAUAUGGUUAUCGUUGUUUCGGUAAUGCUUCUGGGUUAGUGCUUACUUUCUUGCUAUGUUGUUAUGCACCUGGUUAUCAUGCCCUGCUAGUUGCUAUAUAUUCCUUUCAUAUGCUUAUGCUUGCUAGUAGUACAUGUUGAUGUUGGUGAUGGUCUUCGGUGCAUGACUGCCGUCUGUCCCGAGUACCGUUGUUAUGCAUGUUCCAUUGCAUCCAGUUGGUUAAAUUCUUGCAUGAUGGCAUUGUUGAUAUGUUCUUGCAUGAUAUUUAUUGUUUAUGCUAGUGGUCAUGCUAUGUUUCGGAGAAGUAUGUACUUGUGAUGUUCAUGCUAGUCAGGAUGCCAUGCUCAAUGGAUAUGAUUCAUUGUUGAUAUGGUGGAUAGUUAUGUGGUACCCUCAUGAUUAUGUUGAUAUCAUGUUCAUGAAUUGUAAUUUGCAUCAUGUUAUUUUAUCAUGGCUCAUCAUAUUUGCAUUCAAGUUUAACGGGAUUAAAUUGAACUUGAACAACUAUUGGCUGAGUCAUGGUGCCACAAUAUCGAUCUGACCAGUGCAACCACGCUUACCUUUAUGGGAAGGUCCUAACUGUGUCUAUUGUCAUGCCUCUCGCCGGUGCCUCCAAUGAGGGAAGGUUAUGGGCGUGCGGUACCCUGGCUCGGUAAGCAGACAUAACCUUGUGUGCCCGUUGUUGUUGUUGUACCCGGGUUGUCCCUGUUGGGACCGUUUAUGUUUUGGCCACGACGGUGGCCGUUGGUGCCUUUGGUAGGCACGGGCCACCCAGGACUUAGCCCAAAGGGGAGUUGGUCGGAGUGGCCGGGAGAGUGUCAUGGCAGUAGGACGGUUUUGUCGGAACGCCGUUGGUCCACCCGAAUGGGAGUGCGAGGCCAUGGGUUCCGUAGUGUGGGUACAGUGUACUAACCUCUGCAGAGUGUAUAUUAAAUCUAUCGAUAGCCGCGCCCGCGGAUAAGGGCCCAGUUCGUGUCCGUCACACUGUGAGUCAACAAUAUUAAUAAUAAUGUGCUUAAUAACAACCCCGGUUCGAUGAUGAGAUAAGAUGGUUGUGAUCGCCGGAAAGAUCACCGUUUGGCUACGAGGUAGCCCAUUGAACCUAGAGUGGUUCCGUUUGUGAUCCGUGGAUGAUCACCGUGGUAUCGAGGAUACUGAGUUGUUGUAUAUUCAUGAUGUUGUGUGAGAAUCGUGGGUAAAAAUCAAGCUCCUUGUGGUCAUUUAAUGAUUACUACGGUAUUGUUUAUACCAAGCUUGAUUUGAUCCUGAUAUGAUCGUGUGAUGUCCGAGGUUGGUAAGUGAUGCAUGUGAUGGUUACGAAGUAACCCGAGCAGAAUAAAUAGUGCAUAUAGUGUCAUCAUCUUGCAUGCUAGUAUCAUCAGAUUUAUAUGCUCAUGCCAUGCUCAUAUUGUUCUAGCUGUAUCAUGUUCAUAUUGUUGAUGCCAUGUUAUCCUGAUGACCUCGUGAUAAUUCCUUCUUAACCUAUAAUUGCCAUGUUGUUGUUUGUCUUGAAUGCUUCUGGUUAUUGUGAGCUUGCAAGUACAUUCAAUGUACUGACCUAGCGUGUCAUGCCAGUUUGCAGGUCGUGCCUGGAUUGCUUGCUUGUUUGGUGUUGUUCCUGUGUUCGUGAGCUAGGAUAAACGUUCCAGCCAGAGUCCCUGCGGAUUGGAGUCCAUCAUCGUUGUUCGUUGUUCCGCUGCCAGUAGUUGUUCCGCUGCUUCGAGUUGCUAUGCUGCUUGUAUAGAGCAAGCGUGGUUGGCCUAGUGUCGCCGUGCCGAUGUUAUUCAUUGUAAUAUCAGAACCCUUGUAUUCAUAUUCGUGUUGUAAUAGAGAGCUGGUUUGUUCUAUACUAAGCAGUGCCGUAUUCCAGAAGACUUUACCUCGAUCUCUGGGCUGGAA